AAGAUAUUCCCUCUGUCCUGAAAUACUUGUCGGGGAAAUGAAUGUAUCUGGAUGUAUUUUAGUUCUAGAUACAUUCAUUUUUAUCUAUUUUUCGACAAGUAUUUUCGGACGGAGGGAGUAAUAA
rnacentral:pre_miRNA from 1 species